AUUGAACGCUGGCGGCAUGCCUAACACAUGCAAGUCGAGCGAGCGGAGGACGGGUGAGUAAUGUCUGGGAAACUGCCUGAUGGAGGGGGAUAACUACUGGAAAAGGUAGCUAAUACCGCAUACCAUCAGAUGUGCCCAGAGGGGAUUAGCUAGUAGGUGGGGUAAUGGCCGACCUAGGCGACGUACCCUCGCUGGUGUGAGAGGAUGACCAGCAACACUGGAACUGAGACACGGUACAUACUCCUAGGGGAGGCACCAUUGGGGAAGAUUGCACAAUGGGCGCAAACUUGAUGCAGCAAUGCCGCGUGUGUGAAGAAGUCCUCCGGGUUGUAAAGCACUUUCAGCGGGGAGGCGUUACCCGCAGAAGAAGCACCGGCUAACUCCGUGCCAGCAGCCGCGGUAAUAC
rnacentral:rRNA from 1 species